rnacentral:sRNA from 1 species
GCGCAGCCUUCUGCGGGAUACAUCGGUC